rnacentral:rRNA from 1 species
CUACGGGGCGCUGCAGUGGGGAAUAUUGCACAAUGGAGGAAACUCUGAUGCAGCAACGCCGCGUGGAGGAUGACACUCUUCGGAGCGUAAACUCCUUUUAUAUAGGAAGAAGAUGACGGUACUAUAUGAAUAAGCGCCGGCUAACUCCGUGCCAGCAGCCGCGGUAAUACGGAGGGCGCAAGCGUUACUCGGAAUCACUGGACGUAAAGAGCGUGUAGGCGGAUUAAAAAGUCAGAAGUGAAAUCCUAUAGCUUAACUAUAGAACUGCUUCUGAAACUCUUAAUCUAGAAUAUGGGAGAGGUAAAUGGAAUUUCUGGUGUAGGGGUAAAAUCCGUAGAGAUCAGAAGGAAUACCGAUUGCGAAGGCGAUCUACUAGAACAUUAUUGACGCUGAGACGCGAAAGCGUGGGGAGCAAACAGGAUUAGAUACCCUCGUAGUC